UAGGGAAUCUUCGGCAAUGGGGGCAACCCUGACCGAGCAACGCCGCGUGAGUGAAGAAGGUUUUCGGAUCGUAAAGCUCUGUUGUAAGAGAAGAACGUGUGUGAGAGUGGAAAGUUCACACAGUGACGGUAACUUACCAGAAAGGGACGGCUAACUACGUGCCAGCAGCCGCGGUAAUACGUAGGUCCCGAGCGUUGUCCGGAUUUAUUGGGCGUAAAGCGAGCGCAGGCGGUUUAAUAAGUCUGAAGUUAAAGGCAGUGGCUUAACCAUUGUUCGCUUUGGAAACUGUUAAACUUGAGUGCAGAAGGGGAGAGUGGAAUUCCAUGUGUAGCGGUGAAAUGCGUAGAUAUAUGGAGGAACACCGGUGGCGAAAGCGGCUCUCUGGUCUGAAACUGACGCUGAGGCUCGAAAGCGUGGGGAGCAAACAGG
rnacentral:rRNA from 1 species